GCCGAGCACUCGACGGAGCUGGGCGGAGCGGAGUCGUUGGCUGGGCUUCCGGUUGGUAUCGCUAGGCACCGGCGGGCUAUGCGCGGGGCGUUGGUUGGCGGAGGGCCCGUGGCGGAUAACGCCUGGCGGUUGAAAGAAGGUGAAGCUGGGUUGUGCCAGCGGUUUGAGGAGCUCAGUGGUGACCCGAAGUCAGCGGAGGCAUGGUCAGCGGGGCACUGGAUCGACAGCUAGCAGAGGAAGAAGUUCGGCGGAGACCCGGUUCGAUGGUUGGCUGCCAUGAUUGGAGCGGCAGAGACCCGGAGCUCGGAAGCCGCUUGAUGGAAGGUCGGCGGUGCAAGGUCAGCGGGGGGGGGGGGGGGUGAAGUUGGGCGGAGCGGGGCUCGCUGAGUCUUGAGAGAGCCGCUGCCGGCGGCC
rnacentral:lncRNA from 1 species